AGUGAACGCUGGCGGUAGGCCUAACACAUGCAAGUCGAACGGCAGCACAGUAAGAGCUUGCUCUUACGGGUGGCGAGUGGCGGACGGGUGAGGAAUACAUCGGAAUCUACUUUUUCCUGGGGGAUAACGUAGGGAAACUUACGCUAAUACCGCAUACGACCUACGGGUGAAAGCAGGGGAUCUCCGGACCUUGCGCGAUUGAAUGAGCCGAUGUCGGAUUAGCUAGUUGGCGGGGUAAAGGCCCACCAAGGCGACGAUCCGUAGCUGGUCUGAGAGGAUGAUCAGCCACACUGGAACUGAGACACGGUCCAGACUCCUACGGGAGGCAGCAGUGGGGAAUAUUGGACAAUGGGCGCAAGCCUGAUCCAGCCAUACCGCGUGGGUGAAGAAGGCCUUCGGGUUGUAAAGCCCUUUUGUUGGGAAAGAAAAGCAGCAGGUUAAUACCCCGCUGUUCUGACGGUACCCAAAGAAUAAGCACCGGCUAACUUCGUG
rnacentral:rRNA from 1 species